UGGAGUGGGGAGUGGCACCUAGCAGCAACAUCUGUCACCCCACUAAUUACCAGUGUUGAUGAGGCUGAUAAAGCUGACUGGGCAGGUGUCUCCUUCCUCCCUCACCAUUUAAUGCAUGUCUCUCCUAAAGCUUUAUGCUAGGUCAGAAAGAUAGAGGAGAGCCUUUCUCAGCCAAUGGUCUGAGUAGCUGUGCUCCCCUAGUAGAAUCUCCAAACACGCUCUUAACCUCAGUGCUAGUGACACUUUGGGUCAGAUAAUCCUUUGC
rnacentral:snRNA from 1 species